rnacentral:rRNA from 1 species
AGAGUUUGAUCCUGGCUCAGGAUGAACGCUAGCGGCAGGCUUAACACAUGCAAGUCGAGGGGUAUAGUAGCAAUACUAGAGACCGGCGCACGGGUGCGUAACGCGUAUGCAAUCUACCUUUUGCAGCGGGAUAGCCCAGAGAAAUUUGGAUUAAUACCGCAUAGUAUAGUACUUUGGCAUCAAGGCACUAUUAAAGUCACAACGGCAAAAGAUGAGCAUGCGUCCCAUUAGCUAGUUGGUAUGGUAACGGCAUACCAAGGCGACGAUGGGUAGGGGUCCUGAGAGGGAGAUCCCCCACACUGGUACUGAGACACGGACCAGACUCCUACGGGAGGCAGCAGUGAGGAAUAUUGGACAAUGGGCGAGAGCCUGAACCAGCCAUCCCGCGUGCAGGAUGACGGCCCUAUGGGUUGUAAACUGCUUUUCUGCUCCAAGAAACCCUGUUACGUGUAGCAGGUUGACGGUAGAGUAGGAAUAAGCAUCGGCUAACUCCGUGCCAGCAGCCGCGGUAAUACGGAGGAUGCAAGCGUUAUCCGGAUUCAUUGGGUUUAAAGGGUGCGCAGGUGGGAAUGUAAGUCAGUGGUGAAAUACUGCCGCUUAACGGUAGAGCUGCCAUUGACACUGCGUUUCUUGAGUAUGGUUGAGGUAGGUGGAAUGUGUUGUGUAGCGGUGAAAUGCAUAGAUAUGACACAGAACGCCGAUUGCGAAGGCAACUUACUAAGCCAUUACUGACGCUGAGGCACGAAAGCGUGGGUAGCGAACAGGAUUAGAUACCCUGGUAGUCC